GAUGAAGAACGUAGCGAAAUGCGAUACGUAAUGUGAAUUGCAGAAUUCAGUGAAUCAUCGAAUCUUUGAACGCAUAUUGCGCUCUCUGGUAUUCCGGAGAGCAUGCUUGUUUGAGUAUCAGUAAACACCUCAACUUCCAUAUCUUUUUUUGAAAUGGGAGUUGGACUUGAGUGAUCCCAACGCUUUUCCUCACCGAAAAGUGGCGGGUUACUUGAAAUGCAGGUGCAGCUGGACUUUUCUCUGAGCUAUAAGCAUAUCUAUUUAGUCUGCCUAAAAAACAGAUUAUUACCUUUGCUGCAGCUAACAUAAAGGAGAUUAGUUCUUGUGCUGACUGAUGCAGGAUUCACAAAGACAGCUUCGGCCGACUUUGUAAACUCGAUCUCAAAUCAAGUAAGACUACCCGCUGAACUUAAGCAUACAAUAGCGGAGGA
rnacentral:misc_RNA from 1 species